UCCGGCUGCGGGGGAUGGAUGGGGUCAGCGGAGCGGACGGCGAAUCCCUGAGCAAUAUCGUCAAAGGUCCUGCCUUUGGUCUCAGGGACGAGGAGGAAGGUGAAGAUGAAGAACAGGAUGAGGAGGACCAUGAAGAUGAGCUUAAGGAAACUCUGUCCAACUAUGAAGCUGGCCGUCCAGUUACAGAAGCUAGAGACUGUCAUGGCCGCAGGUCGGGGGCCCUGAGAGAAGAGCUCAGCCACGAUGAACCAGGGAAUUGGACCUGGACCCAGCUCGAAGCUGGCUACGAAGCCGAACGCGGCCACGAUGGCCAGGUAGGUCAGGGACAGGUUGGUAUUCUGCAGAUGGAGCAAAGGAUUCAAAGACAUGAGAGGACAAAGGAGCAACGGGGCGACUCAUCGCCUGGGGGUCACACGGACACUCACCGCUAAGGCGAGCGAAAUGGUCAUGACGAGGGCACAGACGGCCAUUCCUCCCAGUCCGAUCAGAUGCAGCGUCCUGCGCCCGGCCCGCUCAACCAGGAAGAGCUGGAGUCCACAGAACCACGGGGAGCUGAUUCUUACAACGUUGAUGCCAGACAGCUGCUGGGAGAGCUGCAGCAUGAUGGCGAUGAUGAUGGGCUGGCGGUAAACCCGGGAGCGGAAGAGUUCUAGGAUGGUGACCUUCUUCUCCAUGGACAUCUUCAUCGCCUCCUCCUUCAUCUCCUGGAUGUCGUCGGCCACGUCCUCGCCGCCACGCAGGUACACCAGCGCUACGGGGGACGAGACCAAGGCCUCAUGUCAGGAUGCCAAUCACCACGCCCAGCUGGUGCAGCGUGCCGAAGGCCCCCCUCAGAGCGGUGGGAGUGAUCUCGCCCACGUACAUGGGCGUCAGGACUGUGCACAAGCCGGAGAACAGGCCGAUGAUCAGCCGGCCGACGAUGAUCAUCUCAUAGGAUCGACUCAGGGAGGAGAGUCCCAUCAGCCCACCGCCGACCACAGCCAGGGCGUUGGACAUCAGCAUGGACUUACGCCUAGUGAUGAGGACAGGGUUAACCAAGGUCACGGCAGGAAGCAACAGCACAGUCAUUCCUGAUGCCCUCACAUGCCAAACAUGUUGACUAUGGUUCCACCGGCCAAGGCCCCGAUCAUGCCCCCCACACUGAAGAUGGCCACGGCGGCGCUAUACAGCUGCGUGGUGUCGGAGCUGAAGUUCCCCCCGUUCCUCUCCAGCGACACGUUUUGAAUGAACGUCUCCAGUUUCUGUCAAAGCACAGAAGACUUGAGCGAGUGCCUCACGCUCCCACACGGGGGCAGUGCUGCGAUGCUUAUGGGACCAGGGCCACCCCCACCCCCCCACGGCCUCGCACCUGCUGCGGCACGUUCAUGACCCCGAUGUUGUAGCCAAACUGCAGCGAGCCGAUGGCGGCGGUGAAGGCGGCGUAGAGCAGGUGAAGAGUCACCUUCUUCUUCGGCUGCGGACAAAGACAAAGACGGCGGUUACGAAGGGAACAAUGAGCGGGCGCAGCUUAUGCACAAUCGCCCCCUCAGUCUGUGGUGGAUGCGACUCUACAAAGCUCCUGUUGUUGCUGUUGUUGUUGUUGUUUACACUGACACUGCCAGCGUUUGCAGGUCGCCUGCUGUGGAAGUUUCACCACAGCACGGCUCACGGGGCGAAGGAGGGAUUCUGAGUUAAGAAGCUGAAACCUUCUCAGAGGGUUUUCCCCAUUUGCUUUGGAAAGUGCUGUACAGUUACAGCUUAGCUCAUAAUAAUAAGCCAAUGCGCCUGACAUGAAUAAUUCACAACCAAGCAGAAGUGAAAUGAGUCCCUGGGUUUAAAUGUCAGGGACUCAAGCAGUCAUCUACAUAUAGAGUCUCACCUGCUAAUUAUGUGUGUUUUAAUGACCGUGGGCUCAGGUUCAAGCAGGCUCAUUACUGACAGAAAAUCCCUUUUAAGCCUUCAGUUUCAAAUCUGCUGAAGUUUCAACACUGGCCAUUCUCUGCAGCAUCAGUGGAACAUUCAUGAUGACAAUUAAUGUGCUUGUAAUGACGCUCAGGCCAAGAACAGGAGGCAACGAUGAACUGCUGCUGGAUGCUUCCCCUCAGAUAUCACAGAUAUCAAACAGUGUUUGACGUUAGCAGUUGUAGUUGAAGCUGCUGCAUCGGUCUGUGUGGCAGGAAACGAUAUGAACACCAGGAAGGAAAAAUAGUCUGUAUAUAAGUGCUGGCACAGAAAAACAACCACAACAGGUUAUUUUUACCAUAACAUUUCUUCCAAAUUCAUUCAGGUUAUAUGAAUUUGGAAUGUGGGUGAGGGGUGAGUUUUCUGUGCUUGUCAUAGACAAGGCUGUCAUGUUCUUUGAAGCUGGAUGUCAUUCACACAGGAAGUCGCUCAGAUCAGUUCUUUGCAAAAGAGUCUUGCACCAGCGAUCGCAUCCAAAGCAUCCACACCUUCACUGAGCGUUACGCUCGUUAUGUGCAGGUCAUUUUGCAACACGCGCUGAUUGGAAAUCAGGUCAGAUGAACCAAGACACAUACGAGAAUAUUAAGAAACGUGAAAAUGAAGUAAGUAGAUGCAAUGUGUUUCAAAAGGCAGACCACAGGAUUUGCAAGAGCAUCUCUGACACAGGUUCACACAGCAGCCUGGUUUCAUAAGAAAGUUACUGGCCUGUUCAAAUUGAUUAAUAACAGAUAAAAAACACCCUGUUGCUUGUUAUAACUCGACCUCUUACUCAUUUGCCUGAUAUCUCACAUUACCGCUGCUUCAUUCCACCUCUGCAGGUAAAAGCACGAAACGUGGACCACUCGUGUUUAAACCUGUUCAGCAGCAGUUUCAGCUCCGUCUCUGUCUCCCUCAGCUUUUACUGCACGGAAAUCACAGAAUCGCCGCCAUGUGGCUUGUAAAUAGCACAAAGUACUUCAUUCAGGAGGUGCUGGCUGAAAACUCAGCUCUGAAUAAAAUAAACAACGCCGACACUCUUCCUCUGGCAGCAAUGGGAAUAAUACUGGUGAUAAAAGUUAAGACAAUAAGACAAUAACAGCAGCACAAAUGAGAAACAGUUACCUUUUUAUUCUCCAUCCGCUCCAUGGUUGCUGUUACAGAGACACCACAGCCUAAAGCUUCUUACUGUAAAUGAAGCUGCCUCUUAUUCCUUAUUAACAGAAGUCACCAGAAUGCCUGAAAAUAAACACAAGACCCAUAUAAAUGUGAGAAAUUACAGUAGAAGUAAAGUUUAAGGAAGCAGAGGUUUGUAUCAUCCACUAACUCUGACUCUGAGUUGCUGUCAUUUCUGAAAUGAGUCUUCAUCCUUUUAAAUUAAAUGACUGUUGCUUUGCUUGUUUCAGUUAACCCAGAAAUGAAACUGAACCAGACGUCACCUAAAACCUUCUUUCAUGCGCACAGAGGUGCUGGUUCUACUCUAACUACAGCUACUGUACAAUAGAGACCAUUAGACCUAACGCUGUAGCUCAAAUAAAACAAUUAAAUCAC